CCUCGCGUACAACAGCCUGCACGGGGGCAUCCCGCCGGCCAUCGCCUCCCUACGCGCGCUCUCCUACCUCGACCUCACCGGCAACUGGCUCCACGGCCACGUACCGCCGGAGGUCGGCGGCAUGCGGCGCCUCGUCCACCUCGACCUGUCUUUCAACAACCUCACGGGGCGUGUCCCCGCGUCGCUUGGGAACCUGACGGCGCUGGUCUUCCUCAACCUCCAGACGAACAUGUUGUCCGGCCCGAUCCCUGGCGAGCUCGGGAUGCUGGCCAACCUAGAGGUUUUGGAUCUCAGCACGGCAUCGUUGAGUGGGGAGAUACCUGGAAGCAUCGGCAACCUGACCAAACUGGCCGUCCUGCUGCUUUUCACCAACCAGCUAUCGGGGCCUAUACCUCCUUCUCUAGGCAACCUCGCCAGCUUGAGUGAUCUUGAGAUCGCCCAGACCCACUUGAGCGGUGGGAUUCCAGUCGCCCUGGGGAAUCUCACUAAGCUCAACACACUCAUCCUAUCACAGAAUCAGCUCACGGGCUCGAUUCCUCAGGAGAUAGGGUUCUUGGCGAAUCUAAGCGCACUGCUUGCAGAUUCCAACCAGCUAGGAGGCCCCAUUCCCGCGAGCAUUGGGAACCUCACUAGUCUAACAUACCUUCAGCUGACCAACAACCAGCUCGUGGGCUCGAUCCCCGGUGAGAUCGGUCGCCUGGUGAACCUGCAGGUCAUGGCUCUGUCUGAAAAUCAGAUUUCAGGAUCAGUUCCUGCAUCCGUUGGGAACCUGACGAACCUCAUAGAGUUCAACAUGUUCAGCAACAGGCUGUCGGGUUCUCUGCCUCGAGAAUUUCGCAAUCUUACACUGUUAGUCGACGUCAUUUUGGGCAACAACUCUCUCUCGGGGGAGCUGCCCUCUGACAUUUGCAGAGGGGGCAACCUUUUUGAGUUCACCCUUGCAAUGAACAUGUUCACCGGUCCAAUCCCUGAAAGCCUAAAAACAUGUGCGAGCCUCGGGUAUCUUAACAUUGGUUCUAACUAGCUGACAGGGGACAUAUCAGAUUUGGGGCCGUACCCACAGCUUGUCGAAGCAGACUUUGGAAGGAACAGGCUCCAUGGGUAUUUGUCCAAGACCUGGGCUUCAAGUGUCAAUCUAACCACACUGAAUAUGGCAGAAAACAUGAUAUCUGGAACCUUGCCACCUGAGCUUUCAAACCUAGAAAAGUUGGAGUUGCUCCUACUGCACACCAACAAACUAACAGGCGAGAUACCGCCAGAACUAGCCAAUCUACCGAAUCUGUACAAACUCAAUUUAUCGCAAAACCUGUUUUCAGGCAAUAUACCACCUGAAUUUGGUCGGAUGAAAAAUCUGCAGUUUCUCGAUGUAUCAAUGAAUAGUUUGAAUGGGUCCAUACCACAAGAGCUUGGGAAUUGCACUGGGCUACUGUCAUUGCUUGUCAACCACAAUAGUUUGAGUGGAGAACUGCCAACGACCUUGGGUAAUCUGGGGAACCUUCAGAUUCUGUUAGAUGUGAGCAACAACAAACUCACGGGCGAGCUACCCGGUCAGCUCGGGAACUUGGUGAAGUUGGAGUCCUUGAACCUCUCGCAUAAUGAAUUCAAUGGGAGUAUUCCACACUCUUUUUCCAGCAUGGUUAGUUUGUCAACACUUGAUGUGUCAUACAAUAACUUGGAAGGGCCCCUUCCAACAGGGCCACUAUUUUCUAAUGCUUCCAUAGGAUGGUUCCUCCACAACAAUGGUCUAUGUGGUAAUCUCUCAGGGCUUCCAAAAUGCUCUUCAGCCCCAAAACUAGAGCAUCACAACAGAAAAUCCCGCGGCCUGGUGUUAAGCAUUUUGAUUCCUUUAUGCAUAGUUACUAUUAUUCUUGCAACCUUUGGAGUAAUUAUGAUUAUUCGUCACAAAAGUAAGAGGCCACAAGGGACUACAGCCACAGAUAGAAGAGAUGUGCUAUCUGUUUGGAAUUUCGAUGGGAAAAUAGCAUUUGAGGAUAUCAUUAAGGCAACAGAAAAUUUCAGUGAGAAGUACAUCGUGGGUUCAGGAGGGUAUGGCACUGUCUACAAAGCUCAACUUCAAGGGGGGAGAUUGGUUGCAGUGAAAAAGCUUCAUGAAACUCAAGAAGAUAUGAGCGACGAAAAAAGAUUCAUAAGUGAAAUCGAAGUGUUGACGAAGAUCCGGCACCGAAGUA